UACGAAGGGGGGCUAGCGUUGUUCGGAAUUACUGGGCGUAAAGCGCACGUAGGCGGAUAUUUAAGUCAGGGGUGAAAUCCCAGAGCUCAACUCUGGAACUGCCUUUGAUACUGGGUAUCUUGAGUAUGGAAGAGGUAAGUGGAAUUGCGAGUGUAGAGGUGAAAUUCGUAGAUAUUCGCAGGAACACCAGUGGCGAAGGCGGCUUACUGGUCCAUAACUGACGCUGAGGCGCGAAAGCGUGGGGAGCAAACAGG
rnacentral:rRNA from 1 species